GACGAACGCUGGCGGCGUGCUUAACACAUGCAAGUCGAACGGAAAGGCUCCAGCUUGCUGGAGUACUCGAGUGGCGAACGGGUGAGUAACACGUGGGUAAUCUGCCCUGCACUCUGGGAUAAGCCUGGGAAACUGGGUCUAAUACUGGAUAUGACCUUUCUCCUUAUGGGGUUUGGUGGAAAGUUUUUCGGUGUAGGAUGAGCCCGCGGCCUAUCAGCUUGUUGGUGGGGUGAUGGCCUACCAAGGCGACGACGGGUAGCCGGCCUGAGAGGGUGAUCGGCCACAUUGGGACUGAGAUACGGCCCAGACUCCUACGGGGGGCAGCAGUGGGGAAUAUUGCACAAUGGGCGGAAGCCUGAUGCAGCGACGCCGCGUGAGGGAUGACGGCCUUCGGGUUGUAAACCUCUUUCAGCAGGGACGAAGCGUAAGUGACGGUACCUGCAGAAGAAGCACCGGCUAACUAUGUG
rnacentral:rRNA from 1 species